AAGUUUAAAAUUCAAAAAAAGUCUUUUAAUUAAAUAAAAAAUAAUUUUUUUCUAGAAAUUAUAUUAAAAUUUAAUGAAUUUGUGAUACGGGAAAUAUUUUCCGGAAAACCACGUGGUCGCUGUUUAUGUCUUCUUUUUAAACGCCAUUGUGACUUGGAUAAAAUAUUUUGUGUAAAAAAAAAAGUUACAAAUUUUUGAACAUGAAGUAACAUAUAAGGCUGAAGAUUCAAAAACUAGAGAAUUAACAAGAGAUUGAGAUUAAGAUGGUUACUCAAGCAGACGAAAUUGUUGUAAAAGUCGAAGAUGAUGUUAAAGAG